UUAAAUAAACAAAGGAGUCACAUUUUACUGUGGGCUCACAGUUUCAGAAUGGUCAGUUCAUGGCUGUUGGCUUCAUGUGCUUGGAGGAAACAUCGUGAGCGCAGGAGCAGUGUGACUCAAGGACCUUGAUUUGGUCUGUCUGGCUGUGUGUUCUGUGGCCUGUGGGACAACUCAGUUUGGUGACAUAUUUGGAGGCUGCUCUUGCAUCAACAUAAUUCUCUGGAUGACAUUUGGAAUUCUUCAAAUCUAGCUGCCGAACAAAGAAAUCUGAGGCAAAGACUCAAGGUCAAUGGGAGAAUAAAGUAGGAGCAACAAAGUAAGACAGAAAACGGUUGAAGGAGCAGUCAGCAACCUGGAAAACUACAAAUGGGUGAAAAACAAAACUGAAACAGAGCAGAGAGUUAAUUCAAAGGAAACCCCAAAGAAUAAGAUGUGGGGGGCACUUGUGAACAUAGAGUUCAUUUCCCUGCAGGCAGUAGGGGUUGUGGGGACCCUCCACGGUGUACCAACCACAAACAGAUGACGAAAGUGGAAAAAUCAACCUCAGAAGUCCAAGAUAAUCAAUGAGAUUGAAAGUAUAAUUCCAAGGGCAUCAGCAAGAACUUCUCGCUGUUUGUGAAGCCUGAUGACUGCAACAUUUAUCCUAAUGGAUCAUCUCGUAGCUUAGAAACCAUUCUCAAAGACAUUCAAGAGAAGACUCAAAAUUCUUCCUCAGCAGUGGGAGUUUAAAAUGGCAAGGCUAAGCCCUAGGACAGAAAGAACACUGGCUCUGGAGCAGGAACUAGACGUGUCCCAGGUCUGCCUACACAACCUCUGUGACCUUAAAGACAUCACUGACUUCCUAGGAGAUUCAGUUUUAUGUCAUAUUUAAGCUAAAAUUUCCAAGGUCAUUUUUUUUUAAUUUUUUUAUUUUUAUUUUGCAAUACAAUUCAGUUCUACAUAUCA